GGCCGCGUGGUGGAACGGUAGACACAGCAGACUUAAAAUCUGCUUCUGGGAAACCGGAGUGCCGGUUCGAGUCCGGCCGCGGCCACCA
rnacentral:tRNA from 1 species